GGAAUUAUNGGGCGUAAAGCGGGCGCAGACGGUUACUUAAGCNGGAUGUGAAAUCCCCGGGCUCAACCUGGGAACUGCGUUNUGAACUGGGUGACUAGAGUGUGUCAGAGGGAGGUAGAAUUCCACGUGUAGCAGUGAAAUGCGUAGAGAUGUGGAGGAAUACCGAUGGCGAAGGCAGCNUCCUGGGAUAACACUGACGUUCAUGCCCGAAAGCGCGGGUAGCAAACAGGAUUAGAUACCCUGGUAGUCCACGCCCUAAACGAUGUCGAUUAGCUGUUGGGCAGCAUGACUGCUUAGUAGCGAAGCUAACGCGUGAAAUCGACCGCCUGGGGAGUACGGUCGCAAGAUUAAAACUCAAAGGAAUUGACGGGGUCCCGCACAAGCGGUGGAUGAUGUGGAUUAAUUCGAUGCAACGCGAAGAACCUUACCUGGUCUUGACAUGUACGGAACCCUCCAGAGACGGAGGGGUGCCUUCGGGAGCCGUAACACAGGUGCUGCAUGACUGUCGUCAGCUCGUGUCGUGAGAUGUUGGGUUAAGUCCCGCAACGAGCGCAACCCUUGUCAUUAGUUGCCAUCAUUAAGUUGGGCACUCUAAUGAGACUGCCGGUGACAAGCCGGAGGAAGGUGGGGAUGACGUCAAGUCCUCAUGGCCCUUAUGACCAGGGCUUCACACGUCAUACAAUGGUCGGUACAGAGGGUAGCCAAGCCGCGAGGUGGAGCCAAUCUCACAAAACCGAUCGUAGUCCGGAUUGCACUCUGCAACUCGAGUGCAUGAAGUCGGA
rnacentral:rRNA from 1 species